rnacentral:rRNA from 1 species
ACGCUCGACACCUACGGGAGGCAGCAGUAGGGAAUCUUCCACAAUGGGCGCAAGCCUGAUGGAGCAACACCGCGUGAGUGAAGAAGGGUUUCGGCUCGUAAAGCUCUGUUGUUGGAGAAGAACGUGCGUGAGAGUAACUGUUCACGCAGUGACGGUAUCCAACCAGAAAGUCACGGCUAACUACGUGCCAGAAGCCGCGGUAAUCUGAGCGGGCUGGCAAGGC